GGAAAAGAAAUCAACCGAGAUUCCCCCAGUAGCGGCGAGCGAACGGGGAGCAGCCCAGAGCCUGAAUCAGUGUGUGUGUUAGUGGAAGCGUCUGGAAAGGCGCGCGAUACAGGGUGACAGCCCCGUACACAAAAAUGCACAUGCUGUGAGCUCGAUGAGUAGGGCGGGACACGUGGUAUCCUGUCUGAAUAUGGGGGGACCAUCCUCCAAGGCUAAAUACUCCUGACUGACCGAUAGUGAACCAGUACCGUGAGGGAAAGGCGAAAAGAACCCCGGCGAGGGGAGUGAAAAAGAACCUGAAACCGUGUACGUACAAGCAGUGGGAGCACGCUUAGGCGUGUGACUGCGUACCUUUUGUAUAAUGGGUCAGCGACUUAUAUUCUGUAGCAAGGUUAACCGAAUAGGGGAGCCGAAGGGAAACCGAGUCUUAACUGGGCGUUAAGUUGCAGGGUAUAGACCCGAAACCCGGUGAUCUAGC
rnacentral:rRNA from 1 species